AGGCAAUCUUGUGCCUAUAUAUUCCAAGUAAAUUUCUGUUAGCAUUACAACCAUAAACUUAGACAAAUAUCCCCAGAAAAAUGAGGUGCUUAAAUGUACUCUUUCCAUUUUCUGUGAAAUGCAUUGUCCUCUUACUCCUUAUGUGGCUGAACUUCGAAGUUCCCUCCACUAACGCUGCUACAACCGGUGGUGGGAAUGAGACAGAUUAUCUUGCUUUGUUAAAAUUCAAGGCAAAGAUUGUGCAUGAUCCCCAAAAUGCCACGAGUUCAUGGAAUGGUUCUGUCCAUUUCUGCAAUUGGGUAGGUGUCAUCUGUGGUCGCAGGCACAAAAGAGUCACCCUUCUGGAUCUUCAUUCUAAAGGCUUGGUG
rnacentral:misc_RNA from 1 species